UACGGAGGAUGCAAGCGUUAUCCGGAAUUACUGGGCGUAAAGCGUCCGCAGGUGGCACUUCAAGUCUGCUGUCAAAGACCGGGGCUUAACCCUGGAAAGGCAGUGGAAACUGAAGCGCUAGAGUGUGGCAGGGGUAGAGGGAAUUCCCGGUGUAGCGGUGAAAUGCGUAGAGAUCGGGAAGAACAUCGGUGGCGAAAGCGCUCUACUGGGCCAUAACUGACACUCAGGGACGAAAGCUAGGGGAGCGAAUGGG
rnacentral:rRNA from 1 species